rnacentral:rRNA from 1 species
UUGAACGCUGGCGGAAUGCUUUACACAUGCAAGUCGAGCGGCAGCGCGGGGGCAACCCUGGCGGCGAGCGGCGAACGGGUGAGUAACAUAUCGGAACGUACCCUAUCGUGGGGGAUAACACAUCGAAAGAUGUGCUAAUACCGCAUACGACCUGAGGGUGAAAGCAGGGGAUCGCAAGACCUUGCGCGACAGGAGCGGCCGAUAUCGGAUUAGCUAGUUGGUGAGGUAAAGGCUCACCAAGGCGACGAUCCGUAGCUGGUCUGAGAGGACGAUCAGCCACACUGGAACUGAGACACGGUCCAGACUCCUACGGGAGGCAGCAGUGGGGAAUUUUGGACAAUGGGGGCAACCCUGAUCCAGCCAUUCCGCGUGAGUGAAGAAGGCCUUCGGGUUGUAAAACUCUUUCGGCAGGAACGAAACGGUGAGCUCUAACAUAGCUUGCUAAUGACGGUACCUGAAGAAGAAGCACCGGCUAACUACGU